UAGCGUGAGGGUGCUAAGGUAGCGAAAUUCCUUGCCUUUUAAUUGUAGGCCUGCAUGAAUGGCUUGACGAGGGUUUAACUGUCUCUAGUCUUAAAGUUAAAAUUGGAUUGAAGGUGAAGAUACCUUUAUACAAAAGUCAGACAAGAAGACCCCGUGCAACUUUUAAAGUCAGUUUAUUGAGAAACUUAAGAUUUUUAGGUGGGGCGCCUACUAAGUAACUGUAACCUUUGUGAAUAUUAAAAACUUUCAGGUAUAGACCCGGCAAAUGCCGAUCAUAGGAGAAGUUACGCCGGGGAUAACA
rnacentral:rRNA from 1 species